AGUGAACGCUGGCGGUAGGCCUAACACAUGCAAGUCGAACGGCAGCACAGUAAGAGCUUGCUCUUACGGGUGGCGAGUGGCGGACGGGUGAGGAAUACAUCGGAAUCUACUUUUUCGUGGGGGAUAACGUAGGGAAACUUACGCUAAUACCGCAUACGACCUACGGGUGAAAGCAGGGGAUCUUCGGACCUUGCGCGAUUGAAUGAGCCGAUGUCGGAUUAGCUAGUUGGCGGGGUAAAGGCCCACCAAGGCGACGAUCCGUAGCUGGUCUGAGAGGAUGAUCAGACACACUGGAACUGAGACACGGUCCAGACUCCUACGGGAGGCAGCAGUGGGGAAUAUUGGACAAUGGGCGCAAGCCUGAUCCAGCCAUACCGCGUGGGUGAAGAAGGCCUUCGGGUUGUAAAGCCCUUUUGUUGGGAAAGAAAAGCAGCAGGUUAAUACCCCGCUGUUCUGACGGUACCCAAAGAAAAAGCACCGGCUAACUUCGUG
rnacentral:rRNA from 1 species